rnacentral:rRNA from 1 species
UUAAGCGACUAAGCGUACACGGUGGAUGCCCUGGCAGUCAGAGGCGAUGAAGGACGUGCUAAUCUGCGAUAAGCGCCGGUAAGGUGAUAUGAACCGUUAUAACCGGCGAUUUCCGAAUGGGGAAACCCAGUGUGAUUCGUCACACUAUCAUUAACUGAAUCCAUAGGUUAAUGAGGCGAACCGGGGGAACUGAAACAUCUAAGUACCCCGAGGAAAAGAAAUCAACCGAGAUUCCCCCAGUAGCGGCGAGCGAACGGGGAGGAGCCCAGAGCCUGAAUCAGCAUGUGUGUUAGUGGAAGCGUCUGGAAAGGCGCGCGAUACAGGGUGACAGCCCCGUACACAAAAGCGCAUGUGCUGUGAGCUCGAUGAGUAGGGCGGGACACGUGGUAUCCUGUCUGAAUAUGGGGGGACCAUCCUCCAAGGCUAAAUACUCCUGACUGACCGAUAGUGAACCAGUACCGUGAGGGAAAGGCGAAAAGAACCCCGGCGAGGGGAGUGAAAAAGAACCUGAAACCGUGUACGUACAAGCAGUGGGAGCACCCUUUGGGGUGUGACUGCGUACCUUUUGUAUAAUGGGUCAGCGACUUAUAUUCUGUAGCAAGGUUAACCGUAUAGGGGAGCCGUAGGGAAACCGAGUCUUAACCGGGCGUUAAGUUGCAGGGUAUAGACCCGAAACCCGGUGAUCUAGCCAUGGGCAGGUUGAAGGUUGGGUAACACUAACUGGAGGACCGAACCGACUAAUGUUGAAAAAUUAGCGGAUGACCUGUGGCUGGGGGUGAAAGGCCAAUCAAACCGGGAGAUAGCUGGUUCUCCCCGAAAGCUAUUUAGGUAGCGCCUCGUGAAUUCAUCUCCGGGGGUAGAGCACUGUUUCGGCUAGGGGGCCAUCCCGGCUUACCAACCCGAUGCAAACUGCGAAUACCGGAGAAUGUUAUCACGGGAGACACACGGCGGGUGCUAACGUCCGUCGUGAAGAGGGAAACAACCCAGACCGCCAGCUAAGGUCCCAAAGUCAUGGUUAAGUGGGAAACGAUGUGGGAAGGCCCAGACAGCCAGGAUGUUGGCUUAGAAGCAGCCAUCAUUUAAAGAAAGCGUAAUAGCUCACUGGUCGAGUCGGCCUGCGCGGAAGAUGUAACGGGGCUAAACCAUGCACCGAAGCUGCGGCAGCGACACUGUGUGUUGUUGGGUAGGGGAGCGUUCUGUAAGCCUGUGAAGGUGUGUCGUGAGGCAUGCUGGAGGUAUCAGAAGUGCGAAUGCUGACAUAAGUAACGAUAAAGCGGGUGAAAAGCCCGCUCGCCGGAAGACCAAGGGUUCCUGUCCAACGUUAAUCGGGGCAGGGUGAGUCGACCCCUAAGGCGAGGCCGAAAGGCGUAGUCGAUGGGAAACGGGUUAAUAUUCCCGUACUUGGUGUUACUGCGAAGGGGGGACGGAGAAGGCUAUGUUGGCCGGGCGACGGUUGUCCCGGUUUAAGCGUGUAGGUGUGUGUUCCAGGUAAAUCCGGUUCACUUUAACACUGAGGCGUGACGACGAGGCACUACGGUGCUGAAGCAACAAAUGCCCUGCUUCCAGGAAAAGCCUCUAAGCAUCAGGUAACAUCAAAUCGUACCCCAAACCGACACAGGUGGUCAGGUAGAGAAUACCAAGGCGCUUGAGAGAACUCGGGUGAAGGAACUAGGCAAAAUGGUGCCGUAACUUCGGGAGAAGGCACGCUGACACGUAGGUGAAGUGAUUUACUCAUGGAGCUGAAGUCAGUCGAAGAUACCAGCUGGCUGCAACUGUUUAUUAAAAACACAGCACUGUGCAAACACGAAAGUGGACGUAUACGGUGUGACGCCUGCCCGGUGCCGGAAGGUUAAUUGAUGGGGUCAGCGCAAGCGAAGCUCCUGAUCGAAGCCCCGGUAAACGGCGGCCGUAACUAUAACGGUCCUAAGGUAGCGAAAUUCCUUGUCGGGUAAGUUCCGACCUGCACGAAUGGCGUAAUGAUGGCCAGGCUGUCUCCACCCGAGACUCAGUGAAAUUGAACUCGCUGUGAAGAUGCAGUGUACCCGCGGCAAGACGGAAAGACCCCGUGAACCUUUACUAUAGCUUGACACUGAACAUUGAGCCUUGAUGUGUAGGAUAGGUGGGAGGCUUUGAAGUGUGGACGCCAGUCUGCAUGGAGCCGACCUUGAAAUACCACCCUUUAAUGUUUGAUGUUCUAACGUGGACCCGUUACCCGGGUUGCGGACAGUGUCUGGUGGGUAGUUUGACUGGGGCGGUCUCCUCCUAAAGAGUAACGGAGGAGCACGAAGGUUGGCUAAUCCUGGUCGGACAUCAGGAGGUUAGUGCAAUGGCAUAAGCCAGCUUGACUGCGAGCGUGACGGCGCGAGCAGGUGCGAAAGCAGGUCAUAGUGAUCCGGUGGUUCUGAAUGGAAGGGCCAUCGCUCAACGGAUAAAAGGUACUCCGGGGAUAACAGGCUGAUACCGCCCAAGAGUUCAUAUCGACGGCGGUGUUUGGCACCUCGAUGUCGGCUCAUCACAUCCUGGGGCUGAAGUAGGUCCCAAGGGUAUGGCUGUUCGCCAUUUAAAGUGGUACGCGAGCUGGGUUUAGAACGUCGUGAGACAGUUCGGUCCCUAUCUGCCGUGGGCGCUGGAGAACUGAGGGGGGCUGCUCCUAGUACGAGAGGACCGGAGUGGACGCAUCACUGGUGUUCGGGUUGUCAUGCCAAUGGCACUGCCCGGUAGCUAAAUGCGGAAGAGAUAAGUGCUGAAAGCAUCUAAGCACGAAACUUGCCCCGAGAUGAGUUCUCCCUGAGACUUAAAGUCUCCUGAAGGAACGUUGAAGACGACGACGUUGAUAGGCCGGGUGUGUAAGCGCAGCGAUGCGUUGAGCUAACCGGUACUAAUGAACCGUGAGGCUUAACCUU